GUGGGGAAUAUUGGACAAUGGGCGAAAGCCUGAUCCAGCCAUGCCGCGUGUGUGAAGAAGGCCUUUUGGUUGUAAAGCACUUUAAGCGAGGAGGAGGCUACUUGGAUUAAUACUCUAGGAUAGUGGACGUUACUCGCAGAAUAAGCACCGACUAACUCUGUGCCAGCAGCCGCGGUAAUACAGAGGGUGCGAGCGUUAAUCGGAUUUACUGGGCGUAAAGCGUGCGUAGGCGGCUUUUUAAGUCGGAUGUGAAAUCCCUGAGCUUAACUUAGGAAUUGCAUUCGAUACUGGGGAGCUAGAGUAUGGGAGAGGAUGGUAGAAUUCCAGGUGUAGCGGUGAAAUGCGUAGAGAUCUGGAGGAAUACCGAUGGCGAAGGCAGCCAUCUGGCCUAAUACUGACGCUGAGGUACGAAAGCAUGGGGAGCAAACAGGAUUAGAUACCCGGGUAGUCC
rnacentral:rRNA from 1 species